GGGUGGAUUAGUGGCGAACGGGUGAGUAACACGUGGGCAAUCUGCCCUGCACUCUGGGACAAGCCCUGGAAACGGGGUCUAAUACCGGAUAUGACCGUCUUGGGCAUCCUUGACGGUGUAAAGCUCCGGCGGUGCAGGAUGAGCCCGCGGCCUAUCAGCUUGUUGGUGAGGUAGUGGCUCACCAAGGCGACGACGGGUAGCCGGCCUGAGAGGGCGACCGGCCACACUGGGACUGAGACACGGCCCAGACUCCUACGGGAGGCAGCAGUGGGGAAUAUUGCACAAUGGGCGAAAGCCUGAUGCAGCGACGCCGCGUGAGGGAUGACGGCCUUCGGGUUGUAAACCUCUUUCAGCAGGGAAGAAGCGAGAGUGACGGUACCUGCAGAAGAAGCGCCGGCUAACUACGUGCCAGCAGCCGCGGUAAUACGUAGGGCGCAAGCGUUGUCCGGAAUUAUUGGGCGUAAAGAGCUCGUAGGCGGCUUGUCACGUCGGUUGUGAAAGCCCGGGGCUUAACCCCGGGUCUGCAGUCGAUACGGGCAGGCUAGAGUUCGGUAGGGGAGAUCGGAAUUCCUGGUGUAGCGGUGAAAUGCGCAGAUAUCA
rnacentral:rRNA from 1 species